rnacentral:lncRNA from 1 species
CGAACUCUGUAGCUUGCUGAAAUACUUCCGCACACUUCUCCGCAUAAUGCCGUAACGCCUGCGACCCAUUUCGGGAUAAACGAGGAUCUAGUGGUGUUCGCGUAUCCAUUUCGCGUCGAAGAUUCCCCCGUCUCUCGUUUUUUUCGAUUCCGCCGACCGCGAGUCGCCGCUGUACGGGUUUUCCAGGGUCUAGGAACAGACGCCACAGCGCCCGCCCGUCUCGGCUUCGAGAGCCCUAUCGGCUAGAACAAGCAAAAUGGAACGGCAAAAAGAAGAAAACGGAAAGGCAGAUAAGAGUCUCAUGUAGUGGCGAAGCUGAAAGCGGCGAAGUACCAGUUCACUCGAGGAUUGUUGCUCUCCGGGGAGCGAGAGCUGGGGCAGUGGGAUCAACGGCUUUGUAUGAAUUUGUGCUUGCCACGAUCGGAAAAGAAAACGCAGAGAGCAUGCGACACACAGGAGUGAGUUGGUUCUCUGUAUUUUGGCGUGUAUAGUCACUAAAUAUGGUUUGGAGGCCGAAGAAAACGCGGAACCUACACGGAGAGUCACCCCCGCGCGAAGCUAGGGCAUCGUGUGCCUGACGCUCGGACCAGGAGACCCAUCCCUCCGACGCAGGAAAGACACGUGGUUACAUGCAGCGAAAACAACACGGCUACAGGCGCCGGGUGAAAGAUCAUAUGCUCACUUGUUCCGACUUUGGAACCGAACAAACCCAGUCACCGGUUUGGUUGUGACAGUGUGAGUCCAGAAACUAGGCACUCCCCUCCGUGUUGACGCUUGCUGUCUAGGUGUGUAGUGAGAGUCAUUUCAGAGUUUCAUGUCUGUGAAGCUACGAAGAGCGUCGCGCGACGGACUGCACAUUCACGAGUACAGCUUUUUGUACGUCACAUUGGACUCUCUUCGAUUGCAAGUUUACAAUCCGUG